ACUGUUCAAGUUAAAAGAUGUCAAGAAGCUGCAGGCUAAUACUUUAUUAACUGUGACAAUCAGCUUUCUGUUUUGAUUCUUCAGAACCCCCUGCUCUGCCCCAAAUAUGUGCCACAGAGAGAGAAAGGAGCUGGUAAAUCAAUCUCCAGAAGUAAUUAAAAGCCGGAAAAAAGAAACCAUUCCACAGUUCAUGAUGGAGACCUUGAAAACUAGCAGUCAAUUUUGAUUCUGUUUAGCCAAUUAUCAUCGAAAUAUACAGGAUCUCUGAAAGUAAAGAAAAGUUGGAUUAAGAUCAUGUAGCCCUCACACUUACAAAAGCACCCAGUGCCAUCAUUUAAGUGAGCCAUAAAAACAUGUGUGCCACAUACCAGCCAUUAAAUAACCCAUGAGGAAAUUCUCCAACCAACCAACCAAAGAAACCAACAAGCAAAGCUAAGCAUGCCUACUCAAACGUCUCAAACUCAGUGUGAGCAUCACUUUAAGUUUUGCUUGAAUAAGCUCACAUACUUAUUAAUUCAUUUAGAAUAUACAAAUCGCUUCAGGGUACAGUACUGACAGAGCUCCAUGACCA
rnacentral:lncRNA from 1 species